UUUCAAGGGUUUCAUUCCCUUCUAAGCGAUACAAACCCUUCGAAAGAGCUCUUGUUCAUUCACUUGGCAAUGAGUGGUCUCAAGCACUUUGGCCUCCUCGUGAUGAUGAUCGUUGCAAUGUAUACGAGCCCAAGAGAAGUUGCAGCGGCUCCAUACUUUGUCCAUCAUCAACUCCGAGACUCGAACAUGUAUGCUACUCUUGGAGUCCAGUGCAAGUGCUGCGACGGCAAGGGAGGUGAAUGCAGGAGCGAGUGGGCGGAGGGGUCGUGCUCUAAACUGCGAUGCUUGCCAUGGAAAUAUCGCCACUAAGUUUCAGAAUUCUGCAUUAUUAUGCGAGUAAACAGGUGACCGAAUGCAGCUGUGAGGUCAAAUGGAAAUAUAUGGAAUAAAGUCGAUGUGCUAUGUGUUUUUUCAUGUAUCCAUGUUAACUAAAACAUACGUGUGACUCGUUAUGAAAAUCGUGUUAUGAAAAUCGUGUAUUAGUUUUAAUAUGUUUGGCACUUCAUAUUUACCCAUCACGCAUGUUUUGCUUU